CAGCACAGUAAACACUGCUUCGGUGCUCCAGGAGCCUAAGGGCUUUCGUCACAGCGAUGCCAAAGGGGGGAAAGAAAGCGGCGGCCGAGGACGGGGAAGAACCCAAGUCGGAGCCAGAGACCAAGAAGAGUAAGGGGGCAGCAAAGAAAACCGAGAAGGAGGCCGCGGGAGAGGGCCCUGUCCUGUAUGAGGACCCCCCAGAUCAGAAAACCUCACCCAGUGGCAAAUCUGCCACACUCAAGAUAUGCUCCUGGAAUGUGGAUGGGCUUCGAGCCUGGAUUAAAAAGAAAGGUUUGGAUUGGGUAAAGGAAGAAGCACCAGAUAUCUUGUGCCUCCAAGAGACCAAAUGCUCGGAGAACAAACUCCCGGCUGAACUGCAAGAGCUGCCUGGACUCACCCAUCAGUACUGGUCAGCUCCGUCAGACAAAGAAGGAUACAGUGGUGUGGGCCUACUUUCCCGCCAGUGCCCACUAAAAGUCUCUUAUGGCAUUGGCGAGGAAGAACAUGAUCAAGAAGGCCGGGUGAUUGUGGCUGAAUUUGAGUCCUUUUUCUUGGUAACAGCCUAUGUUCCCAAUGCAGGCAGGGGUCUGGUAAGACUGGAAUACCGACAGCGUUGGGAUGAAGCCUUCCGAAAGUUUCUAAAGGACUUGGCUUCCAGAAAGCCUCUUGUGCUAUGUGGGGAUCUCAAUGUGGCUCAUGAAGAAAUUGACCUUCGUAACCCCAAAGGAAACAAAAAGAAUGCUGGCUUUACUCCCCAGGAGCGCCAAGGUUUUGGGGAAUUGCUACAGGCUGUACCAUUGGCUGACAGCUUCCGGCAUCUCUACCCCGACACUUGGAAAGAAUGGGGGAUCGAUAGCGAAGACGCACUUUCUGACGCAGUAGCACCUUCUCCUUGGAGUAGCGCCCUCCAGGGAUGCCGGCAGGCAGGUGCUUGA